CGGUGCAAUAGCAUCAAAGGCAUUAAUAGGGAAUGCGGUUAGAAUCCGCAGCAGUCCCCGCUACUGUAACCGGAGACGAAAGUUCAAACUGCCACUUCGCAUUAUGCGUGGGAAGGCGUAACGAUUAGAUUGACCCGGGAGCCAGGAGACCUGCCGUGCUU
rnacentral:ncRNA from 1 species